rnacentral:rRNA from 1 species
UACGUAGGGUGCGAGCGUUAAUCGGAAUUACUGGGCGUAAAGCGUGCGCAGGCGGUUCGUUGUGUCUGAUGUGAAAGCCCCGGGCUCAACCUGGGAAUGGCAUUGGAAACUGGCGGGCUAGAGUGUGGCAGAGGGGGGUGGAAUUCCGCGUGUAGCAGUGAAAUGCGUAGAGAUGCGGAGGAACACCGAUGGCGAAGGCAGCCCCCUGGGCUGACACUGACGCUCAGGCACGAAAGCGUGGGGAGCAAACAGG